ensembl:lncRNA
CGAGAAGCCACUUCCCCUGCUGGUUAUACCCUAACUUUGUAACUCUGGCUGACAGGAAGGAGCGUUAUUUCUCAACAUAGAACACACAGAAGACAGAAUUAACUCCAUGAUAUAGCUGCAUUACCACCCUGCUAUUCACUUCCUGACUUCAGCUCAAGUGCCUACAGGCCCUGUCCUACUAAGCUCUGUACAAGGCCUGACAUUUGACACCCAAGACCCCAGGACUUACACAGAGGCACAAGCGGAGGCCCUGGGGAAGAGGUCAUUGCUGAAAAAGAUGACUCCCUAAAAUCAUGAUGAAAAGUUACUCUAACUGCUGUGCUUUGUUGGAAGACUUCUUGAGGGUAUCACCAUGACUAUGGCUGCUGCUGCUGCUUGUUUGUGUUGUAGACUUACCCUUACUGCAAGAAUAUUUGGGAAAAGGCAGAGAAAAAUUGUAUGAAGUUACCUAUGAACAAGUUGACCUGUGGACCCUGCCAAAAAAAAUUUUCCAUGUGAACUUGAGUUUGCAAGGCCCUUUUUUGAGUCCCGAAAACUCUGCGUUCUGAAAAAGGACAUCUGUGAUAAGAUGGAACUUGGCACCAGUAACUCAUGUACUAUGGGUGAAGCAUGCUCAGAAGAGGCAGACCCAGAGGUAGUCCUGAAUCUUGUAAAUGGCUCUGGGUGAAUCUGAAGAACUGCAUGUGAUUUGUCAGGCGUUUUUAAGAUAAAUGGUAAAACUGAACUGGAAAUCCAUCUGGCCAGCUGCCUGAUCUAAUGAAUAACCCCACUUUGGCUCCUGCAAUGUAAGCAGAAAGAGUUCUCUCCCGGCCGCUUUCGUCUGUCAUGAAUCUACAAGACAGCCGACAUAAUAUCUGGGCGACAACAGCGUGCUAACAGUGCAGUGACUUCCAUUUUCUUUGCUUUCUAUUGAUUUUCACUUAAUAACUGGCGAAAUACUAAACGUCCGCCCUGAGUACCUAAUAAAUCCUGCCUGAGCUUUUUAUUGAGGAGAAUUUAAUAAAAACAACCAUUGUGGCUGAGGGAUUUUUCUUCUGGACAGAACACGGUGAGGGGUGGGUAGCGUGUAUGGGUAAGGGGGGGAGAGACAUUUGAAUUUUCUAAUUUUUUUUUUUUUGCAAGCUUUUCCCCCCUCCCUUCUCGUCACUGCCCUCUUGAGGACCCGAC